rnacentral:rRNA from 1 species
GACGAACGCUGGCGGCGUGCUUAACACAUGCAAGUCGAACGGAAAGGCCCUGCUUUUGUGGGGUGCUCGAGUGGCGAACGGGUGAGUGACACGUGAGUAACCUGCCCUUGACUUUGGGAUAACUUCAGGAAACCGGGGCUAAUACCGGAUAGGAGCUCCUGCUGCAUGGUGGGGGUUGGAAAGUUUCGGCGGUUGGGGAUGGACUCGCGGCUUAUCAGCUUGUUGGUGGGGUAGUGGCUUACCAAGGCUUUGACGGGUAGCCGGCCUGAGAGGGUGACCGGCCACAUUGGGACUGAGAUACGGCCCAGACUCCUACGGGAGGCAGCAGUGGGGAAUAUUGCACAAUGGGCGGAAGCCUGAUGCAGCAACGCCGCGUGCGGGAUGACGGCCUUCGGGUUGUAAACCGCUUUCGCCUGUGACGAAGCGUGAGUGACGGUAAUGGGUAAAGAAGCACCGGCUAACUACGUG